rnacentral:rRNA from 1 species
AUUGAACGCUGGCGGCAGGCCUAACACAUGCAAGUCGAACGGUAACAGGAAGAAGCUUGCUUCUUUGCUGACGAGUGGCGGACGGGUGAGUAAUGUCUGGGAAACUUCCUGAUGGAGGGGGAUAACUACUGGAAACGGUAGCUAAUACCGCAUAACGUCGCAAGCCCAAAGAGGGGGACCUUCGGGCCUCUUGCCAUCGGAUGUGCCCAGAUGGGAUUAGCUAGUAGGUGGGGUAACGGCUCACCUAGGCGACGAUCCCUAGCUGGUCUGAGAGGAUGACCAGCCACACUGGAACUGAGACACGGUCCAGACUCCUACGGGAGGCAGCAGUGGGGAAUAUUGCACAAUGGGCGCAAGCCUGAUGCAGCCAUGCCGCGUGUAUGAAGAAGGCCUUCGGGUUGUAAAGUACUUUCAGCGGGGAGGAAGGGAGUAAAGUUAAUACCUUUGCUCAUUGACGUUACCCGCAGAAGAAGCACCGGCUAACUCCGUG